CUUGGUGAUGCCGUGAGCUGUGCACGGUCACAUCUGGUCCUCACUGGGCUUUCUGUGAGCCAGACACAGGUCUAAACCCUUUACGUGCACUUAUAAAUGUAGAGCUCACAAGGGCACCUAAAGAUAAGCACUAUUACCACUCCCACCUUAAGGUGGGGACACUGAGACACAGAGAGCUGAAGUAAAUUGCCCAAGGUCCUACAGUCAUAAGCACCCGAACCAUGGAGUGAACUCACGAAGGUGGGCUGAGGGGUCUGGAUCUCAAAAUCUCUCCUGUUGGCCUCAAGAGUGGAAUGGCCCUUCCCUGGCAUCCACAUUGUUCCAUCAACCUACGGACACAUUAUAGAAGAUUUGACUACACAUGGAGCACAGAAGGUGCAUAGUAUUCAUCUGGACGCUGUAAGAGUCAAGAUACAGUGGCUGCACUUUGGGGGAUGGUAAAGGCACUAACAGCCUCAUCUCAUGUAGACAGGAAAUUGUCUAACUUACACAGAGCAAGAAAUACACUCUCAUAUUUAAGUCGACAAGGAUAAACGACAUAAGAACUAAAGUGGAAACGAGGAAUAUUUGGAGAAGGAGAGUGAAGCUGUGGUUAGGGAAACAUAUGCUCCAUUUUCACAGCAGUGAGAAGAUAGUCUUGGUGGACAUUCCCUGAAAUGAAAAAAGUGCAAAGUACAAAGGAAACACUUCAGCUGCUUCAGUUUCCCCUGAGGACUGGAGCUAGAACUGAGAGAUGUAGAAGGGGAAACUGCCACUUUUCGUUCCAACACCUUUGUACUGUUUGAUUUGAUUUUAGCCAGGAGAUGUUUUGUUUCCAUUGUUGGAAGUUUGAUUGAAGCAUAGUUGAUUUACAACGUAGUGAUCACUUCUGCUGUACAGUAAGGUGAUUCAGUUGUACAUGCGCACACAUCCCUUCUCCUUGAGGUUCCUUUCCCACAUCGAUUGUCACAGCAUAUGGGGACGAUGUUAGCAGGUCCCUGUUGGCCAAUCAUUCCCUAUACCUCAGUGAGCAUAUGCCCAUCCCAAACCCCCAGGCCAUCCCUCCGCCCUCCCCUGUGCCCCUGGGUAACCAUAAGUUUGCCCUCAAAGUCUGUGGGUCGGUUUCUCUUCGGCAGCUGAGCUCCCUUGUGUCCUUUCUUAAGAUCCACAUAUAAGUGAUGCCAUAUGACGGUUGUCGUUCCCUGUCUGACUAACCAUGGAUCUUGGGAAGCACUAAUACACACAAGCAUCUUUGCACGGAGCUAACCCAUCCACCCAUACCAGUGGCCUCCUCUCCCCUCUCACCUACCCUAGAGCUUUGCUCUCUUGUUGGCCACCGACGUUUUCUGGUUACUCCUCUCCCUCCUGCUCUAAGAGGUAGCUCUUGGGUCUGAGAUCCUAUGUGGUUUCAGUCCAGUAUCUCUCAUCCCUCCAUCCCAUACGUGUCGAGGACUUAUCCACACUUGCCACUCCUCCUCGGUGCCACAUCUCUUUUAUGCUUCAUCCCGCGGCAAGCCGGCUUCAGACCCACCAUUCCACCAAAGGCUCUCCUGCUAAAGUGUAUCACAGCUUUCUGUCAGAUCAAUCGGGUCCUCUGUUUUCAUCUUUUGAGACGUCUUCCCUGUACGUUGACACAUUGAUCAUCCCAUCUUCCUUUAAACUUUCUACUUGGAGGUUCCCAUGGCAGCCAUUGGUUCCACCACCCCUGCACUAGGUCUGUCUUCUUUUUGGUCUGAACUACUACACACCAGGUGGAGCUCCCUGGGCGCUGGGCCCUGGACGUUCCCACUCUAUGCCUUGUCCCAUCAUAAUCCCAAUGACUCCUGAGGUUUCAGCCAAAACAAAUCAGAGGAUGACUCACAGUCUGCAUUUGCCUCCCAGAACUCACUUUGGACUUAAAUAUCCCCUUGCCACGGGACGUCUCUAUUCAAAUAUCCUCCAAGGGUCCAAAACCUGAUCAUCGUCCUACAAAUUAUUCGAACCUCCAGUAUUAUCUAUCUUGACAUUAGAAUAACACAGGGAGUGGGAGGGAUCUGGAGCUUGGGCUUAUCAGACACAACUUAGAAUAGAUUUACAAAGAGAUCCUGCUGAACAGCAUUGAGAACUAUGUCUAGAUACUCAUGUUGCAACAGAAGAAAAUGUGGGGAAAAACUGUAAUUGUAAUGUAUACAUGUAAGGAUAACCUGACCCCCUUGCUGUACAGUGGGAUAAUUAAAAAAAAAAAAAGAAUAACACAGGAACUGAAGUUCUCCUGAUGUUUUGGUCCCUCCACUACAUGCUACUUACCCAAGCAAACACCCACUCAUGCCAGCUUGAGGGCCUAAUUGUUUCUGGAAUCCAUUUCAGCCUGUCCAUGCAAACUACCGUGGCCCUAAUUCAGGGCCUCCUCAUCUCUGGCUCAGUUAUUACCACACCUUCCGAACUUCUUUCUCUCCCCAAGUCUUGUUUCUGUCAAUUGCACCUUGCACAUUGCCGGUCGGACCAACCCACUGAAAACUCAAUCCCGACUAUGUCACAUGUGUACUUAAAAUAUUUUAACCUUCAAAGAUCAAUCCUACGUCCAAGACACUGCCCUUCCUUCCCCUCCAGCCACAUUCCUUUUAUGACUCCAUGCCUUGAACUAGGGGCUGUUGCCAUAGCUAAGGUCUCGGGAUUUGUCUUCCACAUACCCCUUUCCUCUCCUCAGUGCAUUUGGUCCUCAUUUGGACCUGGCUGAUGUCUACACGACUCUCAACAAAACCAUCACUUCAGUGAAAAGCCCGGCCCCCGGGACAGGGGUGGCCCCUGGGAGUCUCCAGAAACAUUCGGAGCUUUGCUUCUCACAUCCUCCGCAGCAUGUGCCCUGUCCACUCAUCUCUUCACCCUCAGGCCUGCAGCCUUGGAACAGGGGGCCUGCAUCUCCCCUCUCCACCUUUUGGGACACAGGGCCCAAGAACUGCAACACCUUAGGUGCUGAAUGAAUAUUGGUGGAAUAAAGAAAUAAUGUUAAGUUCCUAAAUUGUCUUAUCUUACAUGAGCUUCGCAGCCAUCUUGAGUUUGGAAAGAAGAAGGUUUAGUGACCUCUGCUGUAGGCACUGGAAAAAAAUCACAUGUUAUCAGCACCUCCUUCUAUGCCCUCCUCCUUCCCACACACAACCCCUCACUGCCCACUGCCCACUCGAGCCUUCUGUGUUAUUGACAUGCAUACAGAGGGGACCUCAAGGAAAACCAGAAGCAUCAGGUAUCACACGACAUGUUUCCACAAUAUUUUCUUAGCCUCUUUGCUUCUAUUCUUUAUGAUGAACACUCCUUCUUAUCCUGCCUUACCUUACACCAUUUUUUGCUUGAAAAACAGUCGCAGGGCUGGUAAAUGACUUAAGCUUAAGAACAAAGACCUGAAGGCAUCGGUUAUUCAUGUGGUCAGCUGAAUGGGGACCUAAUGCAUUGGUCUAGGCAUGCCGGACCCGUGCAGGUAGGCAUGCCCACUCUUUGCACAGCAGGAUAUGUCCUCUACAGAAUAAGAUGAGGAUGAGCCUCAUGGCCCCAAGGGGUUUAUGAGGGGUCAUUAGCAGGAUAUGCAUUGGCAAGGAGAAUCUAAGUACAAACCUAGACAGGUCAGGGUGAUGCAGACAAGCACGUGGUCUGCAGAAGAUCAACGGUGAUUCUCUAUGCACAGGUAGCUCUCACCAAGCUUCCUCAAUGCAAAUGAUUGUUCAAUGCCAAAAGGUCAGAAUAAAAGCUUAAUCACCUACCAGCCAUGUGACUUUUAAAACAAUUUUUAAACAAAACCUAUAUCCUGCACCUACAACCCCUUCCUCACGUGACAUAAUCCUCAAGACCACAGUAAAAGCAGUGUGGUAUCUUGAGGCAACGCUCUUGGUCCCUGAGACCUUGAGUUUCCCGGUUCCAAUUUUCAUUAGGAGAAAUGUCUCUGUGUCUUGUUUUACGGUAACUUUUAAUUUAAGUAUAGGAGCACCCGUUCAGAAACACUCACAUUCUGAGCUGGUCUCAGCAAGAAAAAGAAAGUUUUAUGACCUCUGCUCUAGGCAGUAGAAAAAAAUCACAUGCACCUAAGCACUGCUGUUGCUGUCCUCCUCCUUCCCACACACCACCCCUCACUGCCCACUGCCCACUCCAUCCUUCUGUGUUAUUGACAUGCACACAGAGGGGACCUCAAGGAAAACCCGAAGCACCAGGUGGAUGAACUCCAGGAAGGACAGGACAUCAUUUGCAGAAGAAAACUGGUGAACGGGCCAUGGGACAGGAUGGUCAAGAGACACAAAACGAGCAAACACUGAGUCAUUCUGAAGAGCUGAAAGGGGCGACUGAGGGACAAAGAGAGGAGAGACUGAGAGAUGCAGAGAGGAGGGUAGAGGACAGGAGAGGAAGGAGGAAGAGGGGAGGGGAGGGAGGGAGAAGGUGAAAGAGAAGUUAAAGGCCACUGCCCUGCAGAGAUGAAUACACAUUUGAGGAUAUGAAAGCAUGUUAAAGUCUCUUGCUGCAGUGUAAUUCCAGUUUGCUCUUUUUAACGAAGUGUCAACUAUUGAAGUUGCAAUGGUGUUUAUUUUUUUAACAACUUCAGAUUAGUAUUUCUUUGAAUGCAACCUGUGCUGAAGCCAGAACCAGAAAGUUCAGCUUCCUUCCAAGUAUAUGUUAUGAAGAUGUGUUCAGCUCUUUAGAACCUAAGGUGCAAGUUGCAUCCACCUCUUGAAUUAAGUAACUACCCCAGGACUCAGCCAGGCACCUUAGCCUGCCAGUAGCUGGGCUGCUAAACUUGCAGAGCAAAGAGUGGCACUCACUCUAAACACUGUUGCAUAUACACCACUUGUGAAUGGGCUUAGCAAUCAGGUGGACAGAUGUUGUAAAGGCUCCUCAGAAUUCAGAAAUCCUGUGUCCUCAGGGGAUAGGCAGGCUUUGCAUAGCUUCACAUCCAAGGCAGCAUGGGGAGUCUCUUUGUGGCUAAGGAUUAAGGCGUCCUCACAGCGGCAGCCUGGGACACUGCUCUGGUUCUGAUGGAGAGUUAAUGUCUGGACAGGGAACUAUGGCUGCAG
rnacentral:lncRNA from 1 species